rnacentral:rRNA from 1 species
GUCUACGGCCAUGCCACCCUAAACGUGCCUGAUCCCGUCUGAUCUCGGAAACUAAGCAGGGUCGGGCCUGGUUAGUACUUGGAUGGGAGACCACCUAGGAAGACCAGGUGCUGUAGGCG